rnacentral:rRNA from 1 species
ACUCCUACGGGAGGCAGCAGUGGGGAAUAUUGGACAAUGGGGCAACCCGUAGAUCCAGCCAUGCCGCGUGAGUGAUGAAGGCCUUAGGGUUGUAAAGCUCUUUCAGCGAGGAGGAUAAUGACGUUACUCGCAGAAGAAGCCCCGGCUAACUUUCGUGCCAGCAGCCGCGGUAAUACGAAGGGGCUAGCGUUGUUCGGAAUCACUGGGCGUAAAGCGCACGUAGGCGGAUUGAUAAGUUAGGGGUGAAAUCCCGGGGCUCAACCUCGGAACUGCCUUUGAUACUGUCAGGUCUUGAGUCCGAGAGAGGUGAGUGGAACUCCGAGUGUAGAGGUGAAAUUCGUAGAGUAUUCGGAAGAACACCAGUGGCGAAGGCGGCUCACUGGCUCGGUACUGACGCUGAGGUGCG